rnacentral:lncRNA from 1 species
GGGGGGGUGAAUUGGUUUCUUCUUCUUUUUUUUUGAUGCUUUAAACGUUUUCUUAAUUAAGUGCGGUGGAUGCUUUCUUAAGCUAUUUGAGUGAGUUAAACUAACGCAAGAGUAGAAGAUGAUGCAAGAGUAAAUGAAAACACAAGCACAACACAAACACAACAAUAUAUAGUGGUUCGGUGCUCUCCUUAGCACCUACGUC